rnacentral:rRNA from 1 species
UACAGAGGUCCCGAGCGUUGUUCGGAUUCACUGGGCGUAAAGGGUGCGCAGGUGGGUUGGCAAGUUUGAUGUGAAAGCCCCCGGGCUUAACCCGGGAAAGGCAUUGAAUACUGCUGAUCUGGAGGAUCGGAGGGGGGACUGGAAUUCUUGGUGUAGCAGUGAAAUGCGUAGAUAUCAAGAGGAACACCAGUGGCGAAGGCGAGUCCCUGGACGAUACCUGACACUGAGGCACGAAAGCCAAGGGAGCAAACAGG